UACGUAGGUGGCAAGCGUUGUUCGGAAUUACUGGGCGUAAAGCGCGCGUAGACGGUUUUGUAAGUCAGAUGUGAAAUCCCCGGGCUCAACCUGGGAACUGCAUUUGAAACUGCAUGGCUAGAGUACGGUAGAGGGAAGUGGAAUUUCCGGUGUAGCGGUGAAAUGCGUAGAUAUCGGAAGGAACACCAGUGGCGAAAGCGACUUCCUGGACCAGUACUGACGUUCAUGUGCGAAAGCGUGGGGAGCAAACAGG
rnacentral:rRNA from 1 species